rnacentral:rRNA from 1 species
GCAGCAGUGGGGAUAUUGCACAAUGGGGGAAACCCUGAUGCAGCCAUGCCGCGUGUGUGAAGAAGGCCUUCGGGUUGUAAAGCACUUUCAGUAGGGAGGAAAGGUAGCAGCUUAAUACGCUGUUGCUGUGACGUUACCUACAGAAGAAGGACCGGCUAACUCCGUGCCAGCAGCCGCGGUAAUACGGAGGGUCCGAGCGUUAAUCGGAAUUACUGGGCGUAAAGCGUGCGCAGGCGGUUUGUUAAGCGAGAUGUGAAAGCCCCGGGCUCAACCUGGGAAUUGCAUUUCGAACUGGCGAACUAGAGUCUUGUAGAGGGGGGUAGAAUUCCAGGUGUAGCGGUGAAAUGCGUAGAGAUCUGGAGGAAUACCGGUGGCGAAGGCGGCCCCCUGGACAAAGACUGACGCUCAGGCACGAAAGCGUGGGGAGCAAACAGGAUUAGAUACCCUGGUAGUCCACGCCGUAAACGAUGUCUACUCGGAGUUUGGUGUCUUGAACACUGGGCUCUCAAGCUAACGCAUUAAGUAGACCGCCUGGGGAGUACGGCCGCAAGGUUAAAACUCAAAUGAAUUGACGGGCC